rnacentral:rRNA from 1 species
GUGGGGAAUAUUGGGCAAUGGGCGAAAGCCUGACCCAGCAACGCCGCGUGAAGGAAGAAGGCCCUCGGGUUGUAAACUUCUUUUAAGAGGGACGAAAGAAAUGACGGUACCUCUUGAAUAAGCCACGGCUAACUACGUGCCAGCAGCCGCGGUAAUACGUAGGUGGCGAGCGUUAUCCGGAUUUACUGGGUGUAAAGGGCGUGUAGGCGGGAGUGCAAGUCAGAUGUGAAAAUUAUGGGCUCAACCCAUAACCUGCAUUUGAAACUGUUCUUCUUGAGUGAUGGAGAGGCAGGCGGAAUUCCGUGUGUAGCGGUGAAAUGCGUAGAUAUACGGAGGAACACCAGUGGCGAAGGCGGAUUACUGGACGAUAACUGACGCUGAGGCGCGAAAGCGUGGGGAGCAAACAGGAUUAGAUACCCGUGUAGUCC